rnacentral:rRNA from 1 species
CCAGAUUGUUCGCCAGAGAACUACAAGAAAAACCUCGAAACUCCAAGGACUUGGCGGUGCUCCACAUCAACCUAGAGGAGCCUGUCCUAUAAUCGAUACUCCACGAUAUACCCAACCAUCCUUUGCCUCCCAGCCUAUAUACCGCCGUCGUCAGCCUACCUUAUGAAAGAGGAAUAGUAAGCAAGACAGUUAACAACUAACACGUCAGGUCAAGGUGUAGCACAUGAGAUGGAAGAGAUGGGCUACAUUUUCUACCACAGAACACACGAAUGACACAGUGAAACCUGCACCUGAAGGUGGAUUUAGCAGUAAGAUAAGUAAGAAACCAAAUCUAAAAAUCGCCCUGGAGCGCGCACACACCGCCCGUCACCCUCAUCAUUUUUACAAUAUAGAACAUAUAAAACCACACAAAACCUAGAUGAGGCAAGUCGUAACAUGGUAAGCGUACUGGAAAGUGCGCUUGGACUCCAAACAGUAGCUUAAUUCAAAGCAUUCAGCUUACAAUUGAAUAACGUUAGUGCAACCCUGACCUUUUUGAGCAAACCAUCUAGCCUAGCAACACACACAAACUUUUUCCACCACAAACUAAACCAUUCCACAAAACUAGUAUAUGCGAUAGAAAAUACACUAAGCGCAAUAGAGACAGUACCGC